rnacentral:rRNA from 1 species
AGCAGUCGCCACGGUAAUGCGAAGGGUGCAAGCGUUAAUCGGAAUUACUGGGCGUAAAGCGUGCGUAGGCGGUUUGUUAAGUCUGUUGUGAAAUCCCCGGGCUCAACCUGGGAAUGGCAAUGGAUACUGGCAAGCUAGAGUGUGUCAGAGGAUGGUGGAAUUCCCGGUGUAGCGGUGAAAUGCGUAGAGAUCGGGAGGAACAUCAGUGGCGAAGGCGGCCAUCUGGGACAACACUGACGCUGAGGCACGAAAGCGUGGGGAGCAAACAGGAUUAGAUACCCCUGUAGUCCCUGUCUCUUAUAC